rnacentral:rRNA from 1 species
UACGGGGGGCAAGCGUUGUCGGUAAUUGAUCUGGGCGUAAAGGGCGCGUAGGCGGUUCGGACUAAGUCGGAUGUGAAAACUACUGGGCUCAACCCAGAGCCUGCAUUCCGAAACUGGUCGGGCUAGAGUUCUGGAGGGGGUAGCGGAAGUUCCUGGUGUAGCGGUGAAAUGCGUAGAUAUCAGGAAGAACACCCGUGGCUAAGGCGGCUCUCUAGUACGGUACUGACGCU